rnacentral:rRNA from 1 species
CACUAUCGUUAACUGAAUACAUAGGUUAACGAGGCGAACCGGGGGAACUGAAACAUCUAAGUACCCCGAGGAAAAGAAAUCAACCGAGAUUCCCCCAGUAGCGGCGAGCGAACGGGGAGCAGCCCAGAGUCUGAAUCAGCUUGUGUGUUAGUGGAACGGUCUGGAAAGUCCGACGGUACAGGGUGAUAGUCCCGUACACCAAAAUGCACAGGCUGUGAACUCGAAGAGUAGGGCGGGACACGUGGUAUCCUGUCUGAAUAUGGGGGGACCAUCCUCCAAGGCUAAAUACUCCUGACUGACCGAUAGUGAACCAGUACCGUGAGGGAAAGGCGAAAAGAACCCCGGCGAGGGGAGUGAAAAAGAACCUGAAACCGUGUACGUACAAGCAGUGGGAGCACCUUCGGGUGUGACUGCGUACCUUUUGUAUAAUGGGUCAGCGACUUAUAUUCUGUAGCAAGGUUAACCGUAUAGGGGAGCCGCAGGGAAACCGAGUCUUAACUGGGCGUUAAGUUGCAGGGUAUAGACCCGAAACCCGGUGAUCUAGCCAUGGGCAGGUUGAAGGUUGGGUAACACUAACUGGAGGACCGAACCGACUAAUGUUGAAAAAUUAGCGGAUGACUUGUGGCUGGGGGUGAAAGGCCAAUCAAACCGGGAGAUAGCUGGUUCUCCCCGAAAGCUAUUUAGGUAGCGCCUCGUGAAUUCAUCUUCGGGGGUAGAGCACUGUUUCGGCUAGGGGGUCAUCCCGACUUACCAACCCGAUGCAAACUACGAAUACCGAAGAAUGUUAUCACGGGAGACACACGGCGGGUGCUAACGUCCGUCGUGAAGAGGGAAACAACCCAGACCGCCAGCUAAGGUCCCAAAGUCAUGGUUAAGUGGGAAACGAUGUGGGAAGGCACAGACAGCCAGGAUGUUGGCUUAGAAGCAGCCAUCAUUUAAAGAAAGCGUAAUAGCUCACUGGUCGAGUCGGCCUGCGCGGAAGAUGUAACGGGGCUAAACCAUGCACCGAAGCUGCGGCAGCGACACUAUGUGUUGUUGGGUAGGGGAGCGUUCUGUAAGCCUGCGAAGGUGACCUGUGAGGGUUGCUGGAGGUAUCAGAAGUGCGAAUGCUGACAUAAGUAACGAUAAAGCGGGUGAAAAGCCCGCUCGCCGGAAGACCAAGGGUUCCUGUCCAACGUUAAUCGGGGCAGGGUGAGUCGACCCCUAAGGCGAGGCCGAAAGGCGUAGUCGAUGGGAAACAGGUUAAUAUUCCUGUACUUGGUGUUACUGCGAAGGGGGGACGGAGAAGGCUAUGUUAGCCGGGCGACGGUUGUCCCGGUUUAAGCAUGUAGGCUGGUUGUCCAGGCAAAUCCGGAUAAUCAAGGCUGAGGUGUGAUGACGAGGUACUACGGUGCUGAAGUAACAAAUGCCCUGCUUCCAGGAAAAGCCUCUAAGCAUCAGGUAACAUCAAAUCGUACCCCAAACCGACACAGGUGGUCAGGUAGAGAAUACCAAGGCGCUUGAGAGAACUCGGGUGAAGGAACUAGGCAAAAUGGUGCCGUAACUUCGGGAGAAGGCACGCUGGUGUGUAGGUGAAGUCCCUGCGGAUGGAGCUGAGACCAGUCGAAGAUACCAGCUGGCUGCAACUGUUUAUUAAAAACACAGCACUGUGCAAACACGAAAGUGGACGUAUACGGUGUGACGCCUGCCCGGUGCCGGAAGGUUAAUUGAUGGGGUUAUCCGUAAGGAGAAGCUCUUGAUCGAAGCCCCGGUAAACGGCGGCCGUAACUAUAACGGUCCUAAGGUAGCGAAAUUCCUUGUCGGGUAAGUUCCGACCUGCACGAAUGGCGUAAUGAUGGCCAGGCUGUCUCCACCCGAGACUCAGUGAAAUUGAACUCGCUGUGAAGAUGCAGUGUACCCGCGGCAAGACGGAAAGACCCCGUGAACCUUUACUAUAGCUUGACACUGAACAUUGAGCCUUGAUGUGUAGGAUAGGUGGGAGGCUUUGAAGCGUGGACGCCAGUCUGCGUGGAGCCAACCUUGAAAUACCACCCUUUAAUGUUUGAUGUUCUAACGUUGGCCCCUGACCGGGGUUGCGGACAGUGUCUGGUGGGUAGUUUGACUGGGGCGGUCUCCUCCCAAAGCGUAACGGAGGAGCACGAAGGUUAGCUAAUCCUGGUCGGACAUCAGGAGGUUAGUGCAAUGGCAUAAGCUAGCUUGACUGCGAGCGUGACGGCGCGAGCAGGUGCGAAAGCAGGUCAUAGUGAUCCGGUGGUUCUGAAUGGAAGGGCCAUCGCUCAACGGAUAAAAGGUACUCCGGGGAUAACAGGCUGAUACCGCCCAAGAGUUCAUAUCGACGGCGGUGUUUGGCACCUCGAUGUCGGCUCAUCACAUCCUGGGGCUGAAGUAGGUCCCAAGGGUAUGGCUGUUCGCCAUUUAAAGUGGUACGCGAGCUGGGUUUAGAACGUCGUGAGACAGUUCGGUCCCUAUCUGCCGUGGGCGCUGGAGAAUUGAGGGGGGCUGCUCCUAGUACGAGAGGACCGGAGUGGACGCAUCACUGGUGUUCGGGUUGUCAUGCCAAUGGCACUGCCCGGUAGCUAAAUGCGGAAGAGAUAAGUGCUGAAAGCAUCUAAGCACGAAACUUGCCCCGAGAUGAGUUCUCCCUGAGACUUUAAGUCUCCUGAAGGAACGUUGAAGACGACGACGUUGAUAGGCCGGGUGUGUAAGCGCAGCGAUGCGUUGAGCUAACCGGUACUAAUGAACCGUGAGGCUUAACCUU